rnacentral:misc_RNA from 1 species
AAUCCAAUCAAGCCCGGCUUGGUAUUGGGCGUCGGGAUCGACCCGCGCCUCAAUUUCGCCGGCUGGACGACCCCGAUCUCAGCGUUGUGACACAAAUCUCGCUGGUGGGAGGGGCGGCCACGCCGUCAAAACAUUGAUUAAGG